GGAUGUGAGGGCGAUCUGGCUGCGACAUCUGUCACCCCAUUGAUCGCCAGGGUUGAUUCGGCUGAUCUGGCUGGCUAGGCGGGUGUCCCCUUCCUCCCUCACCGCUCCAUGUGCGUCCCUCCCGAAGCUGCGCGCUUGGUCGAAGAGGACGACCAUCCCCGACAGAGGAGAGGACCGUUCUUCGGUCAAGGGUAUACGAGUAGCUGCGCUCCCCUGCUAGAACCUCCAAACAAGCUCUCAGGUCAUGAUCCCAGCGUCCUGGGAUUGCGUCUCACAUCAGGCUCCCUGCUCGGCGGGAAGCCUGCUCCU
rnacentral:snRNA from 1 species